AGCCCUGGUGCACAGUGGUUAAAUGCCUGUACUGCAAAUCACAAGGUUGCAAGUUCAAUACUAGCCAGGGCUC